UUUUGUAAGCCGUAUUCAUAUGUACAUAAUAGCGGUAUAUUUGAAUAUGGAGGAUUAGAGAAAAAGGUGUAUUUUAUAUAUUUUCAAACAGUCUCUUUUUUGAGAUUAUAUGUGGUGUGUCAAUACCAAAACAAUCUUGAAUAAAAAUCAAGAAUCGAAGAAAAUCUCAACUUAGUAUUUUUGUUCAUAUAAACAGAUGAGCCAAUAUUUCACAUUCGUAUUUAAGUCAACUAUGGGUACUGUAUUCGAAUUUGUGGAUGAUUGAAGAAAUAAAAGAAUUAUUUCUACAAUUUAUAACCUUUAUUUGACUUAAGAAGCGUAUAUUUGUCCGGAUAAAUAUAACAUUUUGGGCAUGUUUAAAAAAAGAAAAGAACCGACAGUCAACAUGAUAACUCAAACAAUUUGAAGAAUAUUUUGGAGAAAAGGGAUGGCAAAUUGAUGGAAUAUUCCACACAUUAAGUACCUUGGAGCGACUUUUGAUCAAAGACUCCCCUGGAUAGACCAAUUGAAAAAAAAACUCCAUGUUUUCUCGGAUAUCGAAUAUGUCUCCGUAUAUAGCAAGGACAAAAAGACUGGAAUUACUCAUAUGUCGAUCUUCAAUUCUGCUUUGAGUCCAAAAAGACUGGAAUUACUCCUAUGUCGAUCCUCAAUUCUGCUUUGAGUCCAAAAGGAGUUGCACUUAUAAAUUAGGAGCAAAACCACAUUUUGACUCUGAGUCUUAAAUCAGCAUACACACUAGAUAUUACAAUAUACAGACUGUCUGUUGAUCAUAAAAAGGACUCUUUAACUUGAGAAGACAAAUUAUUUCUCACAUUGAUGAAGCUAUGCCAAAACAGGGAUGACAUUGAGAUUGUCAUUAUGUCUAAAAUGCACCGUACAUCAGUUGGAAAAGUCUUUAAAAUAUGGUUGAAUUUUAUGUAUUAUCAGUUUAAGGAAAUUGAUCUGUUUUUGCCCAAUUACAUCAUAGACAUAUUAGAAGGUGUGCUAUGAAACCAACUUCAACCAAACCAAAAUCCAAACUGAUCACAAUAUGAGUUUAGGUAUAUAAAAGAAUACCUUGCAAUAUCUUUUAUGUUUUAUGUUCGUCCAGAAUUCAAAGGACUGCUUCCAGUCAGUAAUAAGACUGCUCCAAGAAUGAAAAAUAUAUACCUACAUGUUUAUAUAAAAAGAAAAACUUAUUUCAUAAAAAAAAUGAUUGUUUUUGUUAAAAAUAUGUUAAUUUAGUUCAUUCAUUUAUGAACUCCAUUUAGUGUAGUAAAUAUAGUAUUACAAUGCGUU
rnacentral:lncRNA from 1 species